rnacentral:rRNA from 1 species
AUUGAACGCUGGCGGCAUGCCUUACACAUGCAAGUCGAACGGCAGCACGGGUGCUUGCACCUGGUGGCGAGUGGCGAACGGGUGAGUAAUAUAUCGGAACGUACCUUAUUGUGGGGGAUAACGCAGCGAAAGCUGUGCAAAUACCGCAUAAUCCCUAAGGGGGAAAGCGGGGGACCGUAAGGCCUCGCGCAAUUAGAGCGGCCGAUACCUGAUUAGCUAGUUGGUGAGGUAAAGUCUACCCAAGGCAACGAUCAGUAGCUGGUCUGAGAGGACAAUCAGCCACGCUGGGACUGAGGCAGGGACCAGGCUCCUACGAGAGGCAGCAGUGGGGAAUUUUGGACACAGGGUGCAACCCGGAUCCAGCAAUGCCGCGUAGGUGAAGAAGGCCUUCGGGUUGUAAAGCUCUUUUGUCAGGGAAGAAACAGCAGCUCUAACACAGUUUGCGAAUGACGGUACCUGAAGAAUAAGCACCGGCUAACUACGUGCCAGCAGCCGCGGUAA